AUGCAAACUCCACACAGAAAUGACCCUGGCCGCCCGGCUGGGAAUGGAACCCAGACCAUUCUUGCUGUGAGGCGACAGCGCUACCCACUGCGCCACUGUGCCGCCUAAAUCUAAUUACCACCCCCUAAAAAAAUUUUAAAAUUUUCAGAAAGGAAUGGAGCUGGUUUCCUUCAAAGAGAAUGGGCGGGACUAAACUGCAGUUGGCUGAAAAUCUCACUCAUAUAAAGUUGCUGAGAUCAUUUUACCUGAAGUUUCUUCAGCAGGAUCGAACCCUCUGCUACCUGUGAGUUGAGGAUUUGAAUUCAUCUGAAAGCGAAUCUGUACAAUCACGUCCUGGCAAUGGGCAAUUGUCAGGGGAACGCUCACUCGGAGGAUGACGUCUCUAAAAGAGCCAGAGGAUGUCGGGAGAACCAGGAUUUCACCCAGCAAAAUUCCCCUCAGGCUUCCAGCACCCACACUGGGAAACGGGAUAAAAGAAUACCGGAGCAAACUGUUC